GAUCAUGGCUCAGGACGAACGCUGGCGGCGUGCUUAACACAUGCAAGUCAACGGGGAUUAGUUGAUUGAGAGCUCGGCAGGAAAUCGAUAAUCGAGUGGCGGACGGGUGAGUAACGCGUGAGCAACCUGUCCCAGACAGGGGGAUAACACUUGGAAACAGGUGCUAAUACCGCAUAAGACCACGGGAUCACAUGGUUCCGGGGUAAAAGGAGCAAUCCGGUUUGGGGUGGGCUCGCGUCCGAUUAGCCAGUUGGCGGGGUAACGGCCCACCAAAGCGACGAUCGGUAGCCGACCUGAGAGGGUGAACGGCCACAUUGGAACUGAGAGACGGUCCAAACUCCUACGGGAGGCAGCAGUGGGGAAUAUUGGGCAAUGGGCGAAAGCCUGACCCAGCAACGCCGCGUGAGUGAAGAAGGCCUUCGGGUUGUAAAGCUCUGUUAUAGUUGACGAAGGAAGUGACGGUAGGCUAUAAGGAAGCCCCGGCUAACUACGUGCCAGCCGCCGC
rnacentral:rRNA from 1 species